GCCAAACAGCUAGCUUAAUUAUUAAUUUAACCAGACGAUAUCCCUAAAAAGACACAACCCACCUCUAGAAAUCAAACCAUUUUUUUACCUUAGUACGGGAGACGGAAAAG
rnacentral:rRNA from 1 species